rnacentral:lncRNA from 1 species
GCUGGAAAAAAGAAGCACUGCUUCACUGAUGAGAGUGCUUAAAUACCGUAGUACUGUUCCCAUCUUCCAUGGACAAGAACUUGAAGUCCCAUCACAGCUUUACCAUUAACUUUGUAGGAUAUUGGAGAUAAACAAAAUACCACAAUGACUAUAGCAGGUCUUUAACAGGACAGAAGAUGCCUACGAGUGGUACGACAUAGCUAAAAUCUUCUCUGACAGGGAUGAGAACCAUGUAAACAUACAUGCUAGACCUUGUACCAUGUUUUGCUAUGAAGUUUUGAUGGUGCUAAAAAUAUCUCUAACAACUACGGCUCCAAUCUGUUCAGAGAAUGUGCAAGUACCAUUCAUGAUGGAAACCUUCUCCAGCUCCACUCACUUCCCUCCAUAGAAGGAGCUUCCAAAUCUCUACUAUUCUUUAG